UGAAGUUCUAAUAGCUGCAGAGGACUCGAUCACAGAAACAAAGAGUGACUUCUCAGACAAGGAAAUCCAAAGAACUGGUUUAUUUACAGCCGAGGGAGUCGGGUUCUGGUAAUUGUAGAAGGAGCAGGUGAGGUGAAAGAGAGUGAGCAGGCAGGCAGAGGAGCAGGCUGGAGCUAAUCCUGCAACCUUUGCUUUUCAAGGGAGAGAGUGGACCGGGACGAAGGUGACGUCCAACACAGAACUGACGGUUAUCGGAGUGACGCAACAGGACCAAAGGAACCACAAAAACACCUUUGGAUCGACGGAGAGCUUCAGUGUUUGUGGAGUCGCCCUGGUGAAAUGUGGAUGAGACCAAACAUGACUGGACCUCUGCUGUCACAAAGUCCUGCUGGGUAAAUACAAGGCGCUCUGCUCACUUUGAUGUGUCGCUCUCGUCAGUCUGCAGAUUUCAGCGCUGUUAGAACGGCUUUACAACCAAAUUCUGAAGAAACAGUGUACAUGGUGAGAAAUGGACCAUCUUCUAUGACAAUCUCUGCAGCUACUUCCCAUUGUUAUGGAGAGGAGGUGUUCCCAGAGGAGCAU